CGCUGGCGGUAUGCUCCACACACAUGCAAGUCGAACGAAAGUUUUUAACUUUAGUGGCGGACGGGUGCGUAACACGUGAGAAUCUGCCCUUAGGAGAAAAAUAACUGCUGGAAACGGCUGCUAAAUCUUCAUAUGCCGAGAGGUGAAAUAAUUUCGAUUGCCUAAGGAUGAGCUCACGCCUGAUUAGCUAGUUGGUAAGGUAAUGGCUUACCAAGGCCACGAUCAGUAGCUGGUUUGAGAGAACGAUCAGCCACACUGGGACUGAGACACGGCCCAGACUCCUCCGGGAGGCAGCAGUGAGGAAUUUUCCGCAAUGGGCGAAAGCCUGACGGAGCAAUACCGCGUGAGGGAUGAAGGAUUUUGGUCUGUAAACCUCUUUUCUCAAGAAAGAAGUUCUGACGGUACUUGAGGAAUAAGCAUCGGCUAACUCCGUGCCAGCAGCCGCGGUAAUACGGGGGAUGCAAGCGUUAUCCGGAAUCAUUGGGCGUAAAGCGCCUGUAGGUUGUUUAAUAAGUCUGUUGUUAAAGACUAGGGCUCAACCCUAGAAAAGCAAUGGAAACUACUAGACUAGAGUAUGGCAGGGGUAGAGGGAAUUUCU
rnacentral:rRNA from 1 species